rnacentral:lncRNA from 10 species
UUUGCUUUUUAUAGGCAGAUUGUUCUUUUUGCCUAGCUAUUCAAAAGAUUAUUUCUGUAUUCUAGUAAAAUUUAUGAGGUGUGUUUUGGUGAGCAUCCUACUGUGGCAAUUCUUUUCCUCUGAGAUAAGAUAUGUCCUUCAGUUUCAAGAUUUUAAUCUCGAUCAAUUUUUGUUUGACCAACUAUAUCCAGAAUAGGAAGUGAAAUAUUGGAGUGCCACACCUGUUUAUGCCAUGAAGGCAUUGUUGACACUGCACAC